UUCCGUAGGGUGAACC
rnacentral:rRNA from 3 species